UCCUGGCUCAAGACGAACGCUGGCGGCGUGCUUAACACAUGCAAGUCGAGCGAGAGAAACUCCUUCGGGAGGGACUCUAGCGGCGGACGGGUGAGUAACACGUGGGUAACCUGCCUCAUAGAGGGGAAUAGCCUUUCGAAAGGAAGAUUAAUACCGCAUAAGAUUGUAGUAUCGCAUGAUACAGCAAUUAAAGGAGUAAUCCGCUAUGAGAUGGACCCGCGUCGCAUUAGCUAGUUGGUGAGGUAACGGCUCACCAAGGCGACGAUGCGUAGCCGACCUGAGAGGGUGAUCGGCCACAUUGGGACUGAGACACGGCCCAGACUCCUACGGGAGGCAGCAGUGGGGAAUAUUGCGCAAUGGGGGAAACCCUGACGCAGCGACGCCGCGUGAGCCGAAGAAGGCCUUAGGGUCGUAAAGCUCUGUUUUAAGGGACGAAUGUCGCGGGUAAUAAUACGAUCUGCGAAUGACGGUACCUUAAGAGGAAGCCCCGGCUAACUACGUGCCAGCAGCUGC
rnacentral:rRNA from 1 species